GGGUCGGCCGGAGUGAUCGCUGGUGUUUUUGCUGCAAGGCGGGGAUGCCAGAGGAAAGUCCGGACACCACAGGGCAGCAUGCCACGUGAAAGCGUGGGGGCUGCGGUGCAAGCCGCAGUCACAGACAGUAUCACAGAAAACAAACCGCCUGCGCGAAAGCGUGGGUAAGGGUGAAACGGCGGGGUAAGAGCCCACCGCCCCAACCGCGAGGAAGGGGGCACGACAAACCUCAUGCGGUGCAAGACAGAACAGGAGAAAGGCCCGCCUGGCCGCAAGUCCCGAAAGGGAUGGAUACCUCCGGGUAAUAGUCGCUCCACUGCGCAAGCAGGGGCGGGCUGGUCGCUCAGCCCGACAGAUAAAUGAUCACAGCCAGGUGCCGAAGGGCAUCGGGGACACAGAAUCCGGCUUAUGAGGGCCGAUCCACCA
rnacentral:RNase_P_RNA from 1 species